rnacentral:misc_RNA from 1 species
AAGUCGUAACAAGGUUUCCGUAGGUGAACCUGCGGAAGGAUCAUUAACGAAUUAUUUCCAAUCAACCUUUAAUACUAUCAUACGAAUUUUCAUGAUCUUUCAUUGAUAGUAUUCUAUGCUUGUCAUAGAUUUUAGAGGAGUUUCAAUUCAUUCGAGUUGAAAUUAAGAUCAUCCUCGAAUUAUUAUUUUUACCAUGUAAAAUAUUAUCAGAACAAAUAGGAUUUAAUGAAAAUUAAAUUCUUGAGAGAAAACUCAAAAACAACUGUUAGCAAUGGAUACCUAGGCUCUU